rnacentral:lncRNA from 1 species
CCAUUAGAGCCCCAGCUAUAGCAACAAGAAGGUUGUGCCCAACCGCUCAGUGAGGUCUCGGGGAUGACCCACAGAUGGGUCAUCCAUGCGAGUGAAGGAGAGGCUCCUGGGACACGAGGCACUAUGUAGGGUCAGUGGCAGUAAGGGACAAUAACAGUGUUGAGGGCUGAGCUAGGUGUCACUCAGAGGUGGACUUGAUGUUGGAGAUGUCAGGCUUGCUUGACACUGGCCUUGUGGGGGUGGCAUUCUGGGACAGGCAAAGCAAAGAGGCAUCUUCAGUAGUGAGGAGCCGAGCCAGCCCAGGGAGAGCAAGCAGGAGUCGGUGGAGCCAGUGGUUGACAGUGUGGACUGCGGUAGCGGACAGCUGGGUUUAAGACCUGGGCACAAUGGAGGAUUCUCUUCAUCUUCCUGUGCCUGUUUCUUCACAAGAGGUUAUGAAAAGCAUCCUGAUUUUGUUCCUGUGCCCCAGGGAAGUGACUACCUUCUGAGGAGAGCACCUUUGUCUUAAAGCCAAGGACGUGAUCCCACCAUCCAUGUCAAGGACACUCUCUCUGCUCCAGGCAGGAAGCAAACCUAUUUAUAGACUAAGCUAUGUGCUGGUCUAGGUCAUCAAUAAAUUGCUGCCAUUACCCAGGACUGGGUGGGAAGGAAGCUCGUGGUAAGGCUAUCAUCUCCAGUAAGCUAGUGAGGAGGUGAUUUAAUAGCUUAUCUCAGGUAGUUCUGAACCUCCAUGUUAAACAUCCCCAAGGCCCUUGGAUGAUUCCAGAAGCUAUGUAGUGAUGCUCUGUCACACGCAGGGAUUGGGACUUGGUGGUGGCCAGGGUACAAACAGGCAAGGGUGUGGGAAGACUGCAGUGCUCUGGGAGCAGUCGGGGCCUCUGGGACCCUGCCACAAGCCUACUUCUCUGAGCUGCAUCUCCUGUCAAGAGGCCACAGCCUGGGGACAGCAGAGCUCCUCUCCAGGAACAGGAAGAGCAGCCCAGGAAACCAGACCCCGCGUCUCCAGCCUCAACGACCUCUUCCUGAGCAAAGGUUCAUGGGAUCCUUCCCGGUGAUGAGGCGGUGUGACAGGACUUAGGUUACUGAAAUGGAUGUCUCACUAUAAGAAAAGCUGGGAAGCCAGAUGCUGGUCUCCUCAAGAUGGCAAGAACUAAGCAAGAUGCUCCCAUCUCUCUGCUCAGCUUCCAAGGCAGACUCCAGCCACGGACUCUCAGGGAUCUUCAAAUCAGCUGUAGCCCCAGGAAUGCCCCCCUAGGGAUGAAACCAAGCUACUGUCACGCAGUUGUGCAUGUGCAAGCCUUUCAACCAGGGUGCAUGAAAAGCCUCCUCUACCAGCAUGGCCAUCAACCCCUCUGCCCAUGUCUUAGGCUCCUUACUGCCAGGGAGCAACGCUGGCUGUCAUGUUCACAGCUCCUCCGUUGGACUGUCUCCAGCAUAGAUGCUGUAGGGAUGUCAACGUCUGAAGUUAGAGGAGUCCUUGCCACGUGUGCACCUCUCUCUGUCUGGGACAGAUAAGGCACCUGCCCUGUGCGUUCUCGAAGCACACCUUCUCCUUGUUGGAGAGAUGCUCAGAAGAAAGAUGGAGGAGAUACAGCCAGACAUCGGCCUCUGUGUCACAGCCAGCUAUCACAGGAGCAGCAGACCCCCCCCACACACACACACACCUUGUGACACCUUCUAACGCACAUGGAAGCAUUGGCUGGUGCGCCUCAGCAGGGACACUGUCAUUAUAGCAGGAUGUGGCCAGGGCUUGGGUCCCCUCCUCUUUGUGUGCCUUGAUUUGAUAGGUGAGUAAAUGGAAGAGGGGAGGCGGUGCGUGAGAACCUGGCGCCACUCUGGACACCUAGGCAGAGUCUGAGUCCCCGGAGCAUCCUGUGUUUCCUGACCCACCCACUGGUAAUGGUCAGCUACUGCUCGGGCAUGGCUAAAGGGGAGUUCGUGGAAGAAACUGGUUUGUGGAUAGUGUGGAAAGUAAGACAAACUGUGUCAUAGAGGCAUAGAAAGCUGGGGUGUAAUCAGAAGGGAACAGAGGGUAGGGACAUCUGGAAGGUAGAACAAGAAGGCAGGGGCAGAGCUGUAGAUGACAGAGUCCAGAGAUUCCCCCAGCUCAGGAACUUCCAGUGUAAAGACAGAAAAGCUUUGGUUUUUUCAAGUAAAGCCUCCUUUG